CGCUAUCACUCCUACGGGGAGGCAGCAGUGGGGAAUAUUGCACAAUGGGGGAAACCCUGAUGCAGCCAUGCCGCGUGUGUGAAGAAGGCCUUCGGGUUGUAAAGCACUUUCAGUAGGGAGGAAGGUAGUGUAGUUAACACCUGCAUUAUUUGACGUUACCUACAGAAGAAGCACCGGCUAACUCCGUGCCAGCAGCCGCGGUAAUACGGAGGGUGCGAGCGUUAAUCGGAAUUACUGGGCGUAAAGCGCAUGCAGGCGGCCUGUUAAGUCAGAUGUGAAAGCCCGGGGCUUAACCUCGGAAUUGCAUUUGAAACUGGCAGGCUAGAGUCUUGUAGAGGGGGGUAGGAAUUUCAGGUGUAGCGGUGAAAUGCGUAGAGAUCUGAAGGAAUACCAGUGGCGAAGGCGGCCCCCUCGGACAAAGACUGACGCUCAGAUGCGAAAGCGUGGGGAGCAAACAGGAUUAGAUACCCUGGUAG
rnacentral:rRNA from 1 species